CGGCGAUGACGAGUUUCUACAUUUUGGUCUGUGUUUAUGAAUCACGUGAUUUCAUUUAAAACGACUGAGCCA